rnacentral:lncRNA from 1 species
CCUCAAUAAUAUGCGAACGAAAGUAUUCAACCAGUGCAUAUUACCAGUUAUCACAUAUGGCUCACAAACAUAGACUUUCACAAAAGAUAACAUUGACAGAAUAUCCAAAACACAAAGAGCAAUGGAAAGACAGAUACUGGGUAUCGGUCUUAAAGACAGGAAAAGACACUCAUGGAUGAGAGAAAAACAAAGGUGUACGAUGUAUGAAGACAGGUUGCACAACUUAAAUGGAAUUUCGUCGGCCACUCUCUGCGGCAAAAAGAUGGAAGAUUGAAUAAGCGAAUUCUACACUUGCGACCAUGGGAAUAGAAAAGAAAAAGAGGAAGACCGCAGAUGAGUUGGACGGACGACCUUCGAAGUUUAACAAAAUUAGAUAGAAUUAGAUUACUAUAACAAAA